rnacentral:lncRNA from 1 species
AAAAAUAUAACCAUCAUAAAACAAAAAUUAAAAAUAUAAAAGUAAUAGAAAAUAAAAAAUAGAUACAACCAUCAUAAAAUGGAAAACAAUGAAACCUUAAUGUAUUUCUAUCUUCUAGCGACGCCACAUGUUUUCUUCUUCUUUCUGCAUCUUCUGUAUUUAUUCUUCUUUUUUCAUUUCCAUCACCGUGCAUAUUCAUCUUCUCCAUUUUCUUCUUUAUUAUUCAAAAACAAGAAGGUGACAUUACAAUUUUCUAAAAAUAGUUAAAGUGAAAUGCAUUGAUCUUGUUUAAAAUUUGGCCCCAAACAAGCAUAAAAGAUAGCGAAAUGAGUUUUGCAA